UUCCCCUUCGGGGGACAGGGUGACAGGUGGUGCAUGGUUGUCGUCAGCUCGUGUCGUGAGAUGUUGGGUUAAGUCCCGCAACGAGCGCAACCCUCGACCAUAGUUGCCAGCAUUCAGUUGGGCACUCUAAGGUGACUGCCGGCUAAAAGUCGGAGGAAGGUGGGGAUGACGUCAAAUCAUCAUGCCCCUUAUGACCUGGGCUACACACGUGCUACAAUGGGCGGUACAAAGGGUCGCGAACCCGCGAGGGGGAGCCAAUCCCAAAAAGCCGCUCUCAGUUCGGAUUGCAGGCUGCAACUCGCCUGCAUGAAGCCGGAAUCGCUAGUAAUCGCGGAUCAGCAUGCCGCGGUGAAUACGUUCCCGGGCCUU
rnacentral:rRNA from 1 species